rnacentral:rRNA from 1 species
UACGUAGGGGGCAAGCGUUGUCCGGAAUCAUUGGGCGUAAAGAGCGCGUAGGCGGCCCGACAAGUCCGCUGUGAAAGUCAAGGGCUCAACCCUUGAAUGCCGGUGGAUACUGUCGGGCUAGAGUCCGGAAGAGGCGAGUGGAAUUCCUGGUGUAGCGGUGAAAUGCGCAGAUAUCAGGAGGAACACCGAUUGCGAAGGCGGGUCUCUGGGCAGCAACUGACGCUGAGGAGCGAAAGCGUGGGGAGCGAACAGG